rnacentral:rRNA from 1 species
GACGGAGGAUGCAAGUGUUAUCCGGAAUCACUGGGCGUAAAGCGUCUGUAGGUGGUUUAAAAAGUCUACUGUUAAAGCUUGAAGCUUAACUUCAAAAAUGCCGUAGAAACUUUUAAACUUGAGUAUGGUAGGGGUAGAGGGAAUUUCCAGUGGAGCGGUGAAAUGCGUAGAUCUUGGAAAGACCACCAAUGGCGAAGGCACUCUACUGGGCCAUAACUGACACUAAGAGACGAAAGCUAGGGGGGCAAAUGGG